CCUACGGGUGGCAGCAGUGGGGAAUAUUGCACAAUGGGGGAAACCCUGAUGCAGCAAAGCCGCGUGAGUGAUGAAGGCCUUCGGUUUGUAAAGCUCUGUCUUCAGGGACGCUAAUGACGGUACUUGCGGAGGAAGCCACGGCUAACUACGUGACAACAGCAGCGGUAAUACGUCGGCGGCGGGCGUUGUCCGGAUUUACUGGGCGUAAAGGGAGCGUAGGCGGACUUUUAAGUGAGAUGUGAAAUACUCGGGCUCAACUUGAGUGCUGCAUUUUAAACUGGAAGUCUAGAGUGCAGGAGAGGAGAAUGGAAUUCCUAGUGUAGCGGUGAAAUGCGUAGAGAUUAGGAAGAACACCAGUGGCGAAGGCGAUUCUCUGGACUGUAACUGACGCUGAGGCUCGAAAGCGUGGGGAGCAAACAGGAUUAGAUACCCGAGUAGUC
rnacentral:rRNA from 1 species